rnacentral:tRNA from 1 species
GCCAUCUUAGCUCAGUUGGAAGAGCGCGUGACUUGUAAUCUCGAGGUCGUCGGUUCGAACCCGACAGAUGGCU